GACGAACGCUGGCGGCGUGCUUAACACAUGCAAGUCGAACGGGAAGGCCCUGCUUUUGUGGGGUGCUCGAGUGGCGAACGGGUGAGUAACACGUGAGUAACCUGCCCUUGACUUUGGGAUAACUUCAGGAAACUGGGGCUAAUACCGGAUAGGAGCUCCUGCUGCAUGGUGGGGGUUGGAAAGUUUCGGCGGUUGGGGAUGGACUCGCGGCUUAUCAGCUUGUUGGUGGGGUAGUGGCUUACCAAGGCUAUGACGGGUAGCCGGCCUGAGAGGGUGACCGGCCACAUUGGGACUGAGAUACGGCCCAGACUCCUACGGGAGGCAGCAGUGGGGAAUAUUGCACAAUGGGCGGAAGCCUGAUGCAGCAACGCCGCGUGCGGGAUGACGGCCUUCGGGUUGUAAACCGCUUUCGCCUGUGACGAAGCGUGAGUGACGGUAAUGGGUAAAGAAGCACCGGCUAACUACGUG
rnacentral:rRNA from 1 species